CAGAGACUUUUUGUCCCUCUUUGAGGUAGAGCCAUGUUGUCCUCAAGAGACAAGAAUAUGGAAAGCAGCAGAGGCUCGCUGUCAGCAUAACCAAAAAAGAGAGAGGAAAAGACCCCAGAAGACGUUUCCUCGAGCAAGAGAUCCAGGGUGGGGAAGUUCAUUCUAACUUGCUGCUUAUGUUGCAUUUGUGUCUCUCCACCGAAAUCACCACCAGGGCUGGCGAUUGAUGACAAGUCCAAAGAGGGAAAAGAGUCAGAGGCAUAACACCAUUGCCGGAAUGAACAUGACAGACCAUGACCACCAACGUAUGGCUCAAUCAGGCAACCAUCCCAUGGGUGUUCAGUUUAAACCUCCCAAACUGGAGCAGAAACAACAAAGCAGCUACUUCAUUUUUACAGCAUCUGAUCCUGAUCUCCCAGUGAACAUUUACAUGCCCCUCUUCAUGUGCAGGAUGCAUUCCAAGAAAAUGGAGCACUCAGCAGUAAAUGUAAUCCCGGCUAUACACUGAAUACUAAGUAACUGUUGACAACAGGGUUGGUUGGUUGCAUGCAUCCAGGAUCUAUUACUGGACUGCCAUCAAGCCACAACUGAAACGCUAACAUUCAAAAUGUCUUUCCAUAAACUCAUGCAAUCAAGAAGCAAGACAUCAAGUUACAAGACAUGAAUAUGAAAUGCAAAAAAGAGCAUAUUGAUGUACUAUAGUGUGGAGAGGGAAUCAUAGAAGAACGAUGUAAAGUGACAUUUUAGAAAAGUAGGCAUCUGUUUCAUA